rnacentral:misc_RNA from 1 species
UAAAACCUAUCACAUGAUUGAUGAUGAUGAUGAUCCCAUAUUGGAGAAGGCCAUAGGGACCAACAUUGAAUGGUAUCCCGGUAAAUGCUUGACACAGAAGAUCCUAAAAAGGAAGCCAAAGAAAGGGUCAAAGAAUGCUAAACCCGUAAUUAAGACUGAGAGCUGUGAGAGCUUUUUCAAUUUCUUUAAUCCACCACAAGUACCUGAAGAUGAUGAUGAUA